CCGAGUUGUCUCCCUAAUCGCACAGGUGCUUCUCCAGUGACUUUGGAAAUCCCAGUAAUUCCCCAAGUGUGUCUUUACUCACUGGUUGUACCUUGAAUUCCCUAGGUUUGUCUUACCCUGACCAGAGAUAUCUCCCUGGUUUCCCCAGCAUGAAGAAUGUGGUCUACGAUGUCUCAUUAUUGCCAAGGUGUGUCUACACUGACCUGGGCACUCCCCUAAGCUCCCAGGAGUCAACCUAAGAAGUCAACCUAAGACCUGGGAAUUUUCCCUGAGGAGCUAGGUGUGACUAUUCGGUGUCUUCCCAAUUCCUGAGAUGCAUCUAAACUGACUUGGAUUGUUUCACGAAUUCCUCAGAUGUGUCUACCAAAAAUGGCAUGUUUUCCUAAUAUACCAGGACCAGGAUGUCUAAUCCCAUGCGGAGUCUGUGACCUGGAAGGACACUCUGACUUGGGAUGUCCCUGUCUGUUGUGCAUUUGGGUGUCUCCCUGCUGCAGAGUCUUCAGUGCUUUUCAGCAGCCACUGACUAAUUAAACCACCUCUAUUCCAUAUGAACUGAACAACAAAAUUACCUGAGCAAGAAUUAUCAGAUUCCCAUUCACGACCUUCAGAUGUCCACAGAAGAAGGAUCAUGUGACAACUAAGAGCAAUGCUCAAUAGUCGGCCACUCUCAGUUCAACUGAGACUACGAUCAAAAGGUAAGGGAGGGGGGGUUAAAAAUGAAAAGGAGAUCACAAUUUGGAUAUGUGGUGACUCCUACUUACCCAACCAGAUCUUAAAACUGUCCUGAUUCCAAAAAUGUGAACUCCAAGUUGAAACAAAACUAGCUUAGAUUCUGUAAAAUCGUGCUCACAUGAGGAAAGCUGAUGUAAUGAAAAGAAUGUGAGCUGCUAAUUACCAAUCCCAAUGGAAAACGAUGUACUUACUAAACUGAGCUGUAAUAGCCAAGAGCAGAGUUUCUUAGCCACUUUCAGUUUGAAUGUUUCCCAGUUCCCAAAAUGCUU